UGGGGAAUAUUGCACAAUGGGGGAAACCAGGAUGCAGCGACGCCGCGUGAACGAAGAAGGUAUUCGUAUCGGAAAGUUCUGUCCGAUGGGAAGAUAAUGACAGUACCAUAGAAGAAAGCUCCGGCUAAAUACGUGCCAGCAGCCGCGGUAAUACGUAUGGAGCGAGCGUUGUCCGGAAUUAUUGGGCGUAAAGGGUACGCAGGCGGUUUAAUAAGUCGAAUGUUAAAGAUCGGGGCUCAACCCCGCAAAGCAUUGGAAACUGAUAAACUUGAGUAGUGGAGAGGAAAGUGGAAUUCCUAGUGUAGUGGUGAAAUACGUAGAUAUUAGGAGGAAUACCAGUAGCGAAGGCGACUUUCUGGACACAAACUGACGCUGAGGUACGAAAGCGUGGGGAGCAAACAGG
rnacentral:rRNA from 1 species